rnacentral:ncRNA from 2 species
UAUGGUCGUCACGCCUAAGGUUCCCCAGUCGUUGCACGCAACGUGCCGGGGCUAAGAGGGAAGUCGGUGCUCCGUGUCAUGCGGAAAAGCCGACGCUGCCCCCGCAACUGUAAGCGGCGAGCUGAAGUCCAAUAUGUCACUGGUUUACCCCGGGAAGACGGACGGAAGUGAUGAUCCGUGAGCCAGGAGACCUGCCUUUGGUGAAAUAACGUC